GGCUGCAACCUUGUGGGAGUCGCGUGUGUAGUGCACGGUGCAUUCUCUCUUAUAUAUCCUGUCCGGCCCGUUUGAGGUGGACAGCCUACAAGGGCGGGACCCAACGCCUGAAUCCUGGGGUGCUGGGCGGAGGAUGCUGAGGCUGCAGCUCCAGGAAGGGAGGGAGCCUGGGGGAUGAAGGAGGGGCCUCUCCACUCUCACCCGCCGGAGCAACUGGUGGAAGUCAAGAAAAGUCUCUCGGGGCUGGGGGAGGGGAUUGUAGGGGUGUGUGUGACAGAGGCCUCAAAAAUCUGGCUGGGGGUGCUAAGGCAAGCCCAUCUGCGCACUGUGCCCUGAGGUGCAAGAGGAUGCAGGGUGGAAGUCGUCCCAAGAGAGUCCAGGGAUCAAGUGGGCAUGCCCUUUUAGCCUUGGCACGAAAUGGAGCAGAAAAAGAGCCGGAUGCGGAUUACUGUGGUGCCCUAGGCUCAGAUUCUGCUGAGUCACUGUGACUGCGGAUUUGGAAGGCUGAGAGUCCUGGGGAGACAUGCUCCGUGGAGACGAAUUUGUUUCUUCCUUUGCAAGAUUCAGAUUCUGCACUUGGGGGCCCAUACAACACACUUCCCUGGGUGCAUGCCACUGCACCACCCCUGCUCCUCAAGGCAGGUAAUGGGGGAACUAAUUGGUUUUGUUUCCCAUGAGCUAAGGCAAGGCUGGUGUGGAGAUAGCAGUUAUAGGGAAGCAUAUUAAAGAAUAGCCAAAACGGGACCAGGCGCGGUGGCUCACGCCUGUAAUCCCAGCAAUAUGGGAGGCCGAGGUGGGUGGAUCACCUGAGGUCAGGAGUUCGAGACCAGCCUGGCCAACCUGGUGAAGCCCCGUCUGUACUGAAAAAUUAGCUGGGCGUGAUGGCGGGCGCCUGUAAGUCCCAGCUACUCGGGAGGCUGAGGCAGGAGAAUCGCUUGAACCCGGAAGGCGGAGGUUGCAGUGGGUCGAGAUCGUGCCACUGCACUCCCGCCUGGGUGACGAAGUGAGACUCCGUCUCAAAAAAAACUCUAUAAAGUAAAAGUUACUGUAAAGAAGGAGAUAUACUCUCAGUAGGUGAAGGAAAAAGAACUAGAGCUUUAAAGUGGUAAUUAACCAUCAGAAGAAUCACAGAUGGGGGAGGUGAGGAUGACACAGGGCCCUUCCGUUGUCCCUCCAGUGCAAAAGUUAAGGAGGCACCAGAAAACUGGUUUCCAACUCCCGACCUCAGGUGAUCCUACCGCCUCGGCCUCCCGAAGUGCUGGGAUUACAGGCAUGAGCCACCGCGCCCGGCCCCAUCGUGACAUUUUUGCAUUCAUUUUGAUGCAACAAGAGAGGACUAUAUUAUUUACACGUAUUUACAAAUUACUUUGGGAGGCUGAGGCAGGAGGAUCACUUGAGCCCAAGAGUUUGAGAAAAGCCUGAGCAACAAAGUGAGACCCCAUCUGACAAAAUAGUAUAAAAGGACGUUUUAAAAAAGGGCUAGGUAGGCAGCCCUGUCCAAUAGAACUUUCCCUAUCUGUGCUGCCCAAGUAAGGUAGCCACAAGCUUCAAGUAGCUAUUGAGCACUGGAAAUGUGGCCAGCAGCCAGGCGUGGUGGCAGGCGCCUGUGUCCCAGCUACUCAGGAUCUGAGGCAAAAAGAUCGCUUGAGCCCAGGAAUUCAAGGCCGCAGUGGUGGACUCAAUAAAAGAAAAAAAAUGGAAAUUAAAAAAAAAAAAGUGGCCAGUGGACUGAGGAAGUGAAGUUUUAAUUGUAAUUAAAUUAAUUUUUUAAAAAUUUAUUUUUUGAGGCGGGGUUUCACUGUGUCGCCCAGGCUGGAGUGCAGUGGCAGGAUCUUGGCUCACUGCAAUCUCCAUCUCCUGGGUUUAAGCAAUUCUUGUGCCUCAGCUUCCUGAGUAGCUAGGACUACGGGCAUGCACCACCACAGUCAGCCACUUUUUGUAUUAUUCGUAGAGAUGAGUUUCACCAUGUUAGCCAGGCUGGUCUCAAACUCCUGACCUCAGGUGAUCUGCCCACCUCGGCCUCCCAAAGUGCUAGGAUUACAGGCAUGUGCCACUGCGCCUGGCUUUAAUUAAAUUUAGAUAGCCACAUGUCACUAGUGUUUGGAAAGACCUGAGCUGGUUCAGAUCGAGGCCGCAGUGUGCUGGCUAUUCUAUCUCUCACUCUUCUAGUGAGAUUGUUUUCUCAAUCACCAGUCUCCCUGACCCAUCCAGAGGUGGGGCUCAAAGCCACAAAGCUCAAGUGUCGUGUUCGGUCGUUGGUUUCCAGCAUGGCCAGUUCCCAUCCUCAGUCAUCUUGUUAACAUGAACUAUAUAGGGGCCCAUCCCAAGUCAUCUCAUUAGCAUAAACCAUCAGGAGUGGUCUGAGAAGCCCACAAUGAAUAAGAUGGACACUCCUAUCAUUUGGGAUUUAGGGGCUCAGGGGCAUGAUGAUAGUUCACUGCAGCCUCGACCUUCUGGAGUCAAGCAAUCCUCCUGCCCCAGCCUCCUGAGUAGCUGAGAUGACAGGUGCAUGCCACCGUGCCUGGCUAAUUUUUUUUUAUUUUUUUGGUAGAGAUAGGGUCUCACUAUGUUGCCCAAGCUGGUCUCAAACUCCUGGGCUCAUGUGAUCCUCCCGCUUUGAUCUCCCAAAGUGCUGGAGUUACAGGUAUGUGCCACCACUCCUGGCCAAAUUUGUUACUACACAGUGGUAAAGACAGACAUUUGAGGUGGCAGUGAACCAAGAUCAUGCCACUGCACUCCAGCCUGGGCAACAGAGGGAGAUCCUGUCUCAAAAGAAAAAAAGAAACUUACUGGCCGGGCACAGUGGCUCAGGCCUGUAAUCCCAGCACUUUGGGAGACUGAAGCGGGUGGAUCACUUGAGCUCAGGAAUUGGAGACCAGCCUGGCCAAUGUGGUGAAACCCCGUCUCCACUAAAAAUACAAAAACAUGAGCUGGGUGUGGUGGUGGGCGCCUCCAGUCCCAGCUACUCGGGAGGCUGAGGCACGAGAAUCGCUUGAAUUCAGGAGGCAGAGGUUGCAGUGAGCUGAGAUUGUGCCACUGCACUCCAGCCUGGGCAACAAGAGCGAGACUCCAUCUCAAGAAAAAAAGAAAAAGAAAAAGCUGCUGUGGAGCAUGGGCGAGCACUGCUGCCUGGACAAAGACCGAGGGUCCUCGGGAGGGCAGUACUGAUGUACAGGUUUCCAGCAGGUCGGCGUGUGUGUUCUCUCCUGCAGGUCUGCAGCCAGGCGUGCCAGGAGAGGGGGAGUCUGAGGGAUUGAUGUAGGUUGGGAAAGCAUGAUGAGAGGAGACAGAGUGGGGGCUGUGAAGAAGAGAGCGACUUGAUGGUGGCGGUAGUUACACAGAUGUAUGUAUUUAUUAAAAUCCGCUGAAAAGUACAUUUUAAAUACAAGCAUUUUAUUGUAUGCAUGUUAUUCCUCAACAAAGUCCAUUUUUAAAAAGUAGAGUGGUUGGAGUGAUGACGAACAUUAUGAAAGGGCUUAUUGGCAGAGAAAAAGUAGAGGGGUCCAGAGACUCAAGUUCCUAACGAGGCUGAAGUAAGAGUGGGGGAUUAAAUAAGGGCAAAAACUGAGAGAAUAAAAAAAGUGGGUUGUUUGGGGCCAGGUGCGGUGGCUUAUACCUGUAAUCCCAGCACUUUGGGAGGCCAAGGCAGGGGGAUCGCUUGAGCCCAGGAGUUCAAGACCAGCCUGGGCAACAUAGUGAGACCCCCCCGCAACCCCCCCCACCUCUGCCAUCUCUAAAAAAAUUAAAAAUUAGCUAGGUGUGGUGGUGUGCACCUGUGGAUCCAGCUACUAAGGAGGCUGAGAUGGGUGGAUCAUCUGAGCCUGGGAAGUCGACGCUAUAGUGAGCUGUGACUGUACCACUGCACUCCAACCUAGGCAGCACAGUGACACCCUAUCUAAAAACAAAAAGAAAAAACAAAAACCCAAGUGGGUUGAUUGGGAAACACAGGAGAUAGAAGUUAAAAUCAUGGGGAAACAUCAGUCAAAUCACAGUGUGGGACAUUCUACAGGACAACCAACCUGGUUUAUCCCAUAAUUCAGUGCUAUAAGAAAAAUGAAGGAGUGUAUAUUGAUCAGGAUUUUCCAGAGAAACAGAACCAAUUGAAUUUCUAUAAAUAUAUAAAAAGCAAUAUAUUGCUGGGUGCAGGGCUCACACCUUGUGAUGGUUAAUAAUGAGUGUCAACUUGAUUGGAUUGAAGGAUGCAAAGUAUUGAUCCUGGGUGUGUCUGUGAGGGCGUUACCAAAGGAGGUGAACAUUUGAGUCAGUGGGACUGGGAAGGGCGGACCCAUCCUCAAUCUGGGUGGGCACCAACUAAUCAGCUGCCAGUGCGGCCAGAAUAUAAAGCAGGCAGAAAAACGUGAAAAGACUAGACUAGGCCUGGUGCCGUGGCUCACGCCUGUAAUCCCAGCACUUUGGGAGGCCGAGACGGGUGGAUCACUUGAAGUCAGGAGUUCAAGACCAGCCUGGCCAAUAUGGCAAAACUCAUCUCUGCUAAAAAUACAAAAAAAUUUAGCUGGGUGUUGUGGUGCAUGCCUAUAAUGCCAGCUACUCAGGAGGCUGAGGCAGGAGAAUAGCUUGAACCCAGGAAGCAGAGGUUGCGGUGAGCCGAGAUCACACCGCUGUACUCCAACCUGGGUGACAGAGACUCACCUCACCAAAAAAAAAAAAAAAAAUAAGUGGGGCUAGACUGGCCUAGCCUCCCAGUCUACAUCUUUCUUCUGUGCUGGAUGUUUCCUGCCCUCCAACAUCAGACUCCAAGUUCUUCAGCUUUGGGACUCGGACUGGCUUCCUUGCUCCUCAGCUUACAGAUGGCCUAUUGUGGGGCCUUGUGAUUGUGUGAGUUAAUACUACAUAUGUCUAUCUUAUUACUUCUGUCCCUCUACAGAAACCUGACUAAUACACACCUGUAAUCCCAGCACUUUGGGAGGGCAAGGCAGGCGGAUCCCUUGAGGCCAGAAAUUUGAGACCAGCCUGGGCAACACAGCAAGACCCCAUCUCUACAAAACAUAAUUUUAAAUAAAAUUAGGCCCGUGUGGUAUUAUGCGUCUGUAGUCCCCCUCACUUGGGAGGCUGAGGUGGGAGGAUUGCUUGAGCCCAGACAGUGAAGGCUGCAGUGAGCCAAAGAUCUCACCAUCGCACCCCAGUUUGGGUGGCAGAGUGAGAUCCUGCCUCAAAGAAAAAAAAAAACAAACAGGUGUGGUGGCUCACACCUGUAAUUCCAACACUUUGGGAGGCUGGGGCGGGCAGAUCACUUGAGGUCAGGAGUUUGAGACCAGCCUGGCCAAUAUGGCAAAACUCCAUCUCUACUAAAAAUAUGAAAAUUAGCUGGGCGUGGUGGCAUGUGCCUGUGAUCCCAGCACUUUGGGAGGCCCAGGCGGGCAGAUCACGAGGUCAGGAGUUCAAGACCAGCCUGGCCAACAUGGUGAAACCCCGUCUCUAUUAAAAAUACAAAAAUUAGCCAGGUGUGAUGGUACAUGCCUAUAGGCCCAGCUACUCGGCAGGAGGAGAAUUGCUUGAACCCUGGAGACAGAGGUUGCAGCAAGCCGAGAUCACACCACUGCACUCCAGCCUGGGCAACAGAGGGAGACUCCAUCUCAAAAAAAAAAAAAAAAGCUGUAUUUUAUGAGGGAUUGGCUCAUUUGAUUCUGGAGGCUGGGAAGUCACACAAUCUGCUGUCUGUAAGCAGGAGGCUGGGGAAAGCUGGUGGUGUGGUUUUGGUCCAAACUCAAGAGUGAGAACCAGGGGAGCCAGCGUUGCAAGUGCCACUCCCAGUCCAAAGGCCCAAGAACCAGGAACAGCAGUGCCCGAGAGCAAGAGAAGAUGAUGUCCCACCUCAAGAAAAGAGUAAGCAAAUCUACCCGGCCUCCUCCUCUCUAUUGUACUCGGGCCUUUGGUGGCGUGGAUGAUGCCUGCCCACCUUGGUGAGGGCAAUUUUCCUUAAUGCAGCCUGCCGAUCCAAAUGCUCAUCUCUCUCCCAGAAACGCCCUCCCAGACACACCUAGAAACAAUGUUCCACCAGCUAUCUGAGCAUUCCUUGCCCAGUCAAGCUGACAUGUAAAAUUAACCAUCAGUUAAUUGUGUUAAAGAAUGUAAGAGAUUUAACAAGAUAAAACAAGCAAAUGUCAUAUGCAGACAUUGUUUGGAUCUUGAUUCAAACAAACAUCUAUAAAAAGACAUCUUUGGACGGGUGCAGUGGCUCACACCUGUCAUCCCAGCACUUUGCGAGGCAGAGAUGGGCGGAUCACCUGAGGUGAGGAGUUUGACACCAGCCUAGACAACAUGAUGAAACCCCGUCUCUACUAAAAGUACAAAAAUUAGCCAGGUGUGGUGGUGCACACCUGUAAUCCCAGCUACUGAGGAGGCAGAGACACAAGAAUCCCUUGAACCUGGGAGGUGGAGGUUGCAGUGAGCCGAGAUUGUGCCGCUGCGCUCCAGCCUGGGUGACAGAACAAGAUUCUGUCUCAAA
rnacentral:lncRNA from 1 species